GGCACAAGCGGUGGGAGUAUGUGGUUUAAUUCGAUGCAACGCGAAGAACCUUACCUGGUCUUGACAUCCCGGAGACCCUUAGGAAACUAGGGGGUGGCUUCCAUCUGGAAGAAUCUGGAGACAGGUGCUGCAUGGCUGUCGUCAGCUCGUGUCGUGAGAUGUUGGGUUAAGUCCCGCAACGAGCGCAACCCUUGCCUUUAGUUGCCAGCAGUUCGGCUGGGCACUCUAAAGGGACUGCCGGUGUUAAACCGGAGGAAGGUGGGGAUGACGUCAAGUCCUCAUGGCCUUUAUGACCAGGGCUACACACGUACUACAAUGGCCGAUACAAAGGGCAGCGACACUGCGAGGUGAAGCCAAUCCCGUAAAAUCGGUCUCAGUCCGGAUUGGAGUCUGCAACUCGACUCCAUGAAGUUGGAAUCGCUAGUAAUCGUGGAUCAGCAUGCCACGGUGAAUACGUUCCCGGGCCUU
rnacentral:rRNA from 1 species